UGAUGUCCUCACGCUAUUAGAAGCUGAUGGUAAAAUCAGAUCUUUGAUUGAAAUUAAACUGCCGGGGAGGAAAAGAAGGAAGGAAAGACAGAGGGAUAAAAGGAGAGGAGGAAAGAAAGAAUUGACCUAUGUCACUGAUAGAACACUAGCAAAGUCAAGAUGCCUCACCAUAAAACAUGGGCUCAAAUAAGAAAAGCCAGCGUACUGAGAAAGGACGCUGCUGGGGUCCAGCCCGACUGGUUCACCAGGAGAUUACAGCCUUCGUCAUCCAAACACGGCGACAUCUCGCACCACUGUCGACUCCACACGAUACGAACUGAGGGAGAAGAGGAGGAGGAGAGACAGAAACGACACACAGUGAACCCACAAAUCAAACAACCAAACCUGAACCAGAGGGAGGCUGUUUGGAUUCAUACAAUGGAUGCAUUGGUCUCAGUAAGGACACAGAUAUCUUGUUUUCUUUUCCCUCUGUCUUUACGGCCUUUUGGGAUGUUAUAUUAUGUGUAUAGGUGGCGAUUUGGUAUGUUUUAACCUUUUGUGUCCUCUCAUCUCUUGUUUUAUCAUUGCUCCAUUGCUCCAAAUGGCUGUGGCUGCUGUAAAGGUGAGGCCACAUGGUUUGGGUGGGGCCUCGAUUAGGACCUGAUGGUUGAAAGGUGUUGGCUUUUUUUUUAAUGAUUUGGCCACAACAGUAAAAGCUUUUUAAAUUUCCUUUGUUGUUCUUAAUAAUUUUGUGGAUUGUUUUUGGAAUCUCCCUUUUUCCAAGAGUACCUAAAACAUUUUUUUCCCGACAUUUUGUUAAAUAGAGCAACCAGUCAUUGUCUCUUUUUUACAUGUAAGCUAGAACAUCAUAUAAUGUCUUUCUUGUAAAAUUUAAAAAAUAAAGUAUGACUUCAGUCUGAAAACAUUACAACUAAUAAAGUUGUUUUGACCGAAUGAGUCUAUUUUAUUUUAUCUGACUUGUUUUGUGUCUGUGUAACUACUUCAAGUGCUUUAUUUGCCCCCCGGGGACAAAUGAAGCACUUGAAGUAGUUGUACAGACUAUUGAAUUUAAUUGAAAUGUUUAAAUUCAUUUUGUCUUGAAGUAACAGCUAUUUCUUGUAAAAUUACUUGUAUUUUCAUAUGUCUUGAAAUUACAACUUUGUUCUCACAAAUAUAUACUACAGUGUCAUUUUCAUCAGACUUUGUUACAAAUUACAACUUUGUUAUUUAGCCUUUAUUCUUUAA